rnacentral:rRNA from 1 species
GUGUCAGCCGCCGCGGUAAGACAGAGGUGCCAAGCGUUAGGCGGAAUCACUGGGCUUAAAGCGUGUGUAGGCGGAUCGUUAAGUGCCUUGUGAAAUCCCACCGCUCAACGGUGGAACUGCUUGGCAUACUGGCGGUCUUGGGCCAUCUAGGGGCGACUGGAACAAACGGUGGAGCGGUGAAAUGCGUAGAUAUCGUUUGGAACGCCAAUGGUGAAAACAGGUCGCUGGGGAUGUGCCGACGCUGAGACACGAAAGCCAGGGGAGCGAACGGGAUUAGAUACCCGCGUAGUCC